GCGUGAGUGAAGAAGGCCUUAGGGUUGUAAAGCUCUUUCGCCCGCGAAGAUGAUGACGGUAGCGGGAGAAGAAGCCCCGGCUAACUCCGUGCCAGCAGCCGCGGUAAUACGGAGGGGGCAAGCGUUGUUCGGAAUUACUGGGCGUAAAGGGCGCGUAGGCGGGGUGUCAUGUCAGGGGUGAAAGUCCUGGGCUCAACCUGGGGACUGCCCUUGAAACGGGCGCUCUUGAGACCGGGAGAGGAUGGCGGAAUUCCCAGUGUAGAGGUGAAAUUCGU
rnacentral:rRNA from 1 species